UGAGCUGUCAGUUACCGAGAAGAACCAGCAGCAAAGGAACGACAAAGGCAUUGCAAAUAAUGCAGGACCAUUG
rnacentral:tRNA from 1 species